GACGAACCGUGCGAACGUUGUUCGGAUUCACUGGGCUUAAAGGGCGCGUAGGCGGGUUUUCAAGUCUGGGGUGAAAUCCUCUCGCUUAACGAGAGAACUGCCCUGGAUACUGGGGACCUCGAGGGAGGUAGGGGCAUGUGGAACUUCCGGUGGAGCGGUGAAAUGCGUAGAUAUCGGAAGGAACGCCGGUGGCGAAAGCGACGUGCUGGACCUUUUCUGACGCUGAGGCGCGAAAGCCAGGGGAGCAAACGGG
rnacentral:rRNA from 1 species